rnacentral:lncRNA from 1 species
UGAGCUCGUGUUGUUGCCAUCAGAUGGCCAUUUUGAGUGGUGAUGGGCAGGCCAAAUGAGUGUGCAUUUUAUAAUAAAAGUCUCACAAACAGACAAGCACGGCAUGAAUCAAAAUGAACCUUCACAACGGAAAUAAGAUUCUCACAGCAUUUAGAUAGAACAGCUCAUUGUGCAUAACGAAAUUAUAUAGCUAAACAGAACCAAAUACUAGAUAUAUAACUGGUUCAAAACAAGGGAGACAGCUCGAUGGACAUGCCAUCAGAUGGUCCGUACUGAUUUCUUUCAAAGUAGAAAGCGGCACAACUCAUUUAAGAGGGAUGAACCGGGAAGAGUGUGUGGCACCGAUACCGGGCCUACCGUGCUUCACUGGCUUGUAGGAGAUAGAGAACUCUGCAAGGUAAUGGCCAAUCAUCUCAGGCUUAAUCUCAACCUGGUUGAAGGUCUUGCCAUUGUAGACACCGAUAAGGCUGCCAAUCAUCUCAGGGACAAUGAUCAUGUUGCGGAGAUGUGUCCUCACUGGCUCAGGCUUCUCACCAGCAGGAGCAUCCUUUUUCUGUUGAAGACCAACAAAACAGAUUGUCAGGUAACUACAUGUUGGCAAAAUAAGAAGCUAUAGACUAAGCUAGUUUUCCAUCCUUAACUAACACUUUCAUCCAGCCUCCCCCUCGUUUUUGCUUUUGCUGUUUUUUACUGGUUUUUGUCAAAAACCAACACUACUUAAAAAAACAUCUACUUAUCAAAUAAAAUCAUGUUUCAAGGUAAGCCAAUAAAUAUCUACUUACAGAAAAUAUAAGGUUCCAUCUUAUAUUUACUUCAAUUUGACAACCCCAACUCUUCCAUUCAGUUGGUCAGCUUCUAAUUUAUGAAAUAAAAUCAUGUUUCCUUUAGUAAGUGAAUAACUACUGAUCCAAUUGGAAGCUAAAAUACAUUUUCAGUGUGCAAUUGCAUUAAGAAAACAAAUGGUAAAUAUAUGUUCCCCUCUGCAACGCACAGGCAAUUAUAUAGUAUUGCAUAGAAAUGCAGCUAUAAUACAGUGAGACUUGCAACAUUACCAUGGAAAGAAUGAGAAAAGAGCAUAUUCUCCUUUUUUAUGUUAGCAGCUCAGAAGCAUGUUAUUUAAGUAUAAUAGCCAGCGUUGCUAGUUAUGAAUGCACCACUGAAGUUCAUAUGGUAGAACAAAAGUAGUCAGCUCACAUAGUCUGAACUAAUUUCAAACUCAGAUUAUGUGAAGAUGGAAAGAUCAAAGGGUCUUUUACAUUUGUGUCCCUAACUCGAACCCACUAAUCGGAUUUGCCCCUAGUUUCGAAGCAUGCUCAAAUUUGCCCCUCUGCCGUUAUGUGCCAUUACAGAAAUGCCCUUCCGUGCCGUUUCCGUCUGGUCAAAGGGCUUUGACCGUUUUCCUAACGUUUAAUGGACAUUUUUGCCCCUCAAUGCACAUGCCACUUACAGGUGGGGCCUACCCCGGGAAAAAUAACUCUCUUUCUCUCAUCCCCUCUCUGACUUACACAUCGGAUCUAAAUCCUGAGAGCGCGUGAGAUCUUCUGCCGGCGACGCCGUUGCUAGCCACCGCGGCCGGAGUCCAAAUCGAGCAGCACGAGCAUGUCCAUGAGCUUUGGCGGGCGCCUCUCCUUCGUCCUGCGCAAUGGAUCUGGCCUGGGGCUGCCCGUAGACGACGCCCGGGACGUCGAACUCCGCCAUGGCCAUUGCUCUUCCCGUCCUAAAUUCGGCCGCUCUAAGCCAUUCUUGACCUACCCGACCCCUGUUCCGUCGUCAAGGAAAGCAGGUGCCCCUACUCCGCUCUUCCCCCGCCCGAUUCCGUGCCCGGAGCACCCUGACAGAAUCCGGCCGCCAUGACCAACCUUGGUUGGCUCGGUCGUGCACGCGCCCAUCUACACCCUGCCGCUCCUAGUGAGCUUGGCGCGUCUCGCGCAACUUGCGUGCCUCGCGCAGUAGGCGCCGUCCUCCCACGAUCGCCCUCCUCCCCUACGGCGAGCCGCCGGCGAGCGCAGGCGCUCACGGCCGGGAACGCAUGGACCGGGGGUGUUUACCCUCAUAGUGGGUCCAGUCAAGAGGAGAUGGAUGAGAGAGAUUUUUUUUGUUUUUUCCUGGGUAGGUCCCACCGGUAAGUGACUGACACACGGGAGGGCUGAGUUGGCCUAGUUUUCCUUUUAUUUUUUUAGAGGGGGUCCCGCAUGUAAGUGUCACAUGGAUUCAAGGGCAAAUUGUCCAGCUAACGUCCAGAAAACGGUCAAAGCCCUUUGACCGGACGGUAACGGAGCGGAAGGGCAUUUCUAUAAGUGCACAUAACGGCGAAGGGGCAUUUUUGAGCAGGCUUUCGAAUUAGGGGUAUAUCUGAUUAGGUGGUUCGAGUUAGGGACAGAAAUGCAAAUGGCCCAAGAUCAAAUGCAUAGCACCAUAAACGCUUACACAACAACAUACAGCAUAGUGAGGAAACCUGACCUUGCGACAGAAAAACACCACAUUUUAUCUUUACUCUUACAAAGAUCUGAGUUGUUGGCAAUCCAUUCACCAAGUUAAUAGAAGUUGACACAUUUCUCAACCAUUCUAUGGAGACAAGAGUUUAUAGUUUUAGACAACCCAGGACCUAUGAUGGCACAAGUGUUUAAACUUGCAGACGAAAACAAAAAACAUUGAUAGCAACGCACAAGCAUUUAGCCAAUAGAUCCUAAAGAUUGUUGCAACAGACAUAAGAGGCACCUGAAUUAACAGCAUGUGCUCGAGUAACUAAAUGUCUAUUUCCCACUACCAAUCAGCACAUGCCCGUAAGAUUAACCUUCUAAUAAGAGAAAAGAAUGAUAACAAGGUAGUAGACUAGGAGUAACUUAAGUUAUAUCAGUCAGAAUGUUCAUAAAACGGAAACAAAGAAAAAGGACUGGGCAACUCACCGCCUUGCGCAGCUUCUUGACGAGCGCCAUGGGCUUCCUCUUGAGACCCCUCUUGAACCUGCCCGAGCACGCAGCGAUUCAUCCACAUCAGACGAAGGACAACAACCAACGAAACUCGAACGCGCGAGAUGCAUAGACAACAGGUACCUUCUGCGGGCGCGAGCGGGGAACAUCUGGACAAGGUCGUCAGUGGACAUGUCGAGGAGGGCAUCGAGAUCCACGCCACGGUAGCUGAACUUGCGGAACGUCCUCUUCUUCGGCUGCGCGCCCGCGGCCACCUCCGUGUCAACGUCGACGUCCGCCUGGGGACACGUAACAUCGAUCCACGUUACGAGAGCGACAUGGACGGGUUAAGAGAUGAUGCAUGGAUUCGAACUCACCAUGGUCGGGUCGGCUUCGAGCGGGUACGGAGCGGCGGCGGCGGCGAGGAAUGGGAAGCUGCGGCUUCUAGGGUUCUGAAGAAGGUUUGUGAGUGGGAGCUUAUAUAUAUAGCUCGGCGUGGUGAUUCAUUUGGGCUAGGCUGGUAAAUGUUUGGGGUUCACGCAUCGCCCAAACAUGGGCCGACAGCCCAUUAGGCGGUGCGAUUUGACCUGUUAGCCAUUCUCGAGAUCUUUUAUGCUCGUCCUCGCCACUAGAGGAGCGAGGGGGUUCUUGAAUUUAUACUUCUUAUGCCGCACCAAGAACUACCUAUAUUAGGUUGCCAAAAUACAAGUGAAUUAAUCGUGAUAACCACCUGGUAUUUAUGGUGGGAGAGACGCAUGUUGGUUCAUGAAGGGAAAUCUCAAGAAGUGAAUCAGAUUUCGAUGGGCAUUCGUGCUAUAACUGCAAACUAUGUGAAUGAUACCUUGCGCGGUGCUGCAGGAACUGAUUGCAAUAUAGUUUGAUGAAAUUUGAUUGUUUGAAAAAUGAAUAUUUGAGUUAUAAAUAUGAGGACUGGCCGAAGAAAAUAUAUGAUUUAUUGUAUAUAAUUAUUGACGUGGACCUUCCAUGCAUGGUGAGGUGGUCAUUUUCCAAGGCAUAUAGUAUGGGCACUCACCAACAUACUGAGAAAAUAGAAGAUACCGCGGGCAUUGUGGUAGGUAUCCUUGAUAAAUAUAUAUUCUGAGUUGAGAAACACACAAAAGUUUGCCACUACAGCAAAACGAAGGAAAGUUUAGCAUGCAUAGUUUAGUAGUUGCAACAUGACAUAUAUUCGUUUUAGUUAAUUCUCAAUAUUUAAAGCAAAGGAAUAAAUCAUCGGGAGUCAAAAGGGGUACUAAUCUGCAUACACAACUUUUUAAUCAUGAGAAAAUAUCUAAUUAUCUAUGGUGGUUAAAUUGAUUAAGCUAAUUAUUAUAAUAUGCUAAAGGAUUGAUAAAUCACAUCAUAAAAAAGUAUGUAGUUUUGAUUGCGAUCCCGUGGCAAGCUUGUAUGGGAAGGAAGAAUAGUUAUUUGGGAUAAAUCUUACCAUUUUAGGAUAGGACAUAGGGUUGUGUCAUGUCAAAAAAAACGAGAUAUCUUUGUAUCACUACAUUAUGGGAUGUUAGGUCUCCAAAAAAAUAACUAAAUGGCAUGCAAAAACAAAGAUAGUUAUAGGCUUUUAUGAACAUAAUCAACAGUUAAGCAAAGUCUCACCUCUUGUCUUUCUUUCCAUACCAUUUUAUUCUGCUGUAAAAAAAAGCAAACUAUAGUCUUUGAUCCCAAAUAAAAAUAACACAUAGUGGGCACAUCAAUAAAGAAACAAACAUUAUGAAGGGUACACAUAGAGAUAGUUGAUCAAGAGGUAAGCACGAAUGAAAUAAAAUGAACUGCAGUAUAUAAUUCCAAGUGAAAAGAACACACGCUGGGCACAUAAGUAAAGAAACGAAUGUUGUUGGGAAACCAGAAUGAGCUGAUAUCCACGUACACGUGACAUUACCGUUAGAUCAUAUAAGAGGUAACAGGAUUAUCUAUAAAUUAUACUCCCUCCAUUCCAAAUUACUCGUCGUGGUUUUAGUUCAAAUUUAAACCGUCGUGGUUUUAGUUCAAAUUUAAACUAAAACCACGAUGAGUAAUUUGGAACGAAGGGAGUACUUGUCAAUAACCCUGCAGUAAGGUAGCAGGCAUGACUUGAUCACUGGGAUCAGGGUAACUAUAGAAUAUCAUGGUUUGCGAAGAAAACAGUCUAUACCAUCAGACCAAAUAUAUGUGUGCUAGUAAUAGUGCAGACUUAAUACCAAGUAGUAAUACAUAAGGAGCAUUAGUUAUUAAACAACAUUCUUUGUUGCUAGCUUUUCUUGUGGGAAGCAAGAGAGAUUGCUUUGGAUUACGAAAAUAGAAACACCUUCUAUCUGGUAGUUGUUGCCUUCCUUGUGGACGCACCUGCAAGCAUAUGGGACAAUGAAAAUAAACUAAAACAUGGGACAGAUAAACAAUCACUGGAUGUACAACUCAAGACUUCCGAAGAGAGGUUUCACGCUACAGAUCCAAACUGGGAAAAAUUCUAUAAUGGAAAAGGUCUCAUCCCACCAAAAAGAUAAAGAAAUUAAGGCAAGCAAAUAAAAUAUUCACAAAUUAGGGGAAGAGAGAUGCAUGGGCUGGAAAAGUUUACUGCUCCUCCCAUGACCGCCAAGUAGAGCAGUAUGGCAAUAGUCCAGCCAGGAAUUUGGAACCACCCAAAUAUAGGCCUAACCAGCGGCACACUCUGUUGACACAAACCUAAUAUGUGAGAUUUAAUAGUGAGAGGGGAGGAAGUAAGAUUACCUGAGGAGAUUAAGGUGGGGAAGAGGGAGAGUUGACAGGAAGCCAGUAUUACAUUGGCGAUGUUAUCGGGAGUCAGGGUAUAGGCUUGCCGGUGGCGCCUUACAUGGAGAAUGUGUUUGCGGUGUCUGUCCGUGUAAUAGUAGACGUCGUCAUUACCAGUGAAGCUCAUCUUAUGGCUGCCGCCGCAGCCACUAUUAGUAGAAUUGGUAACCUGUAGAUGAGUCACGAACCUAAAUCUAGACAGGAUGAUAUGGUUGUGGGCUGGUCAUCUGCGUUCAGGAGGUGGAAGGCGAGCAGAAAAUAUAAUGAUGGAGGGGAUGGGAGGGAAGGAGUCGUGAGUCAUGAGUGUCAAACUGUAGUUGGUGGACAGAGAGUUGAGGCGAUGAGAAGAAGGGUCGUGAAGGGGAAGAGGCGAUGAGAAGAAGGGUCGUGGAGGGAAGGGGAAGCGUGUAAUCUGCCAGAUUAUUCUGUCUAUUCGGUUGGAAAAAGAAUGUGUAAUUAUAACUAAACAACCGAGGUGUCACUAUGAUGAUGUGGAUAGCUUGCAUGCUUAGAUAAAUAAGGUAGUGGGGGCGAACUUCUUAGGUAUAUAGGAUGCCCACUCCCUUAGUGCGACUAGUAGAAAAGAAGGAUGGAGCCGACCUUCUAUAGGUUUUGUUAAACUAAAUGUUGAUGCUUUUUUUGACCAUGAUCUGCUCAGGGGCACGGCAGGUGCAGUGCUCAGAGAUGACAAAGGAAACUUCAUUACUGGCGGAAAUUGGAAGAUCGAUUGGUGUGCUGAUGUACUAACAACAGAAGCGAUGGCUCUUAGGUUUGGUUUAAUUCUUGCACAAAAGGUGGGAUGCAAUCGUCUUAUUAUUAACUCUAAUAAUAUGGAAGUCAUUGACACAAUGAAGAAUGGAGGACGAUCGGCGGGAGUUACGGCGGCAGUAUUCGAGGAUUGCUACUUCAUGGCAUGCGAUUUUCCGUUGACUAGAUUGGAACAUUGUAAUAGGGUAGCUAAUAAGGUUGCUCAUGAACUUGCUAGGCUAGCGAAAGCUUCUGUAACUAGAGAUUGGUUUGAGGAGCCUAUGGAGAAUAUUGUACCUCUUCUUAUAGAUGAUGUAACUAUCAUUUCCAAUUAAUAAAGUGGAUGUUUUCUUUCAAAAAAGAAAUGCUAAUCCUAUUUGGGGCAAAAUCUGGAAACUAUAUUGUCCGGCAGAGGUAAAAAAAUUCAUCUGGCGUACAUUGCAUGGAACUCUCCUAUGUCGUGUUAUGCUUGUUAGACCUUUCAGCCUGAGCAUUGAUAGUUGUGGAUGACACUAGGAGAGUUGGGACAAUUUUCGUUGGUUUAUUUCUCACACAAUGCCAUGCCAACCUGAGGGGUUGGGGAUACAUAUUUAUAGGCUGCGAGCCAGCCAAGGCAUAUGCUAAGAUGCUGCUAAGAUGCCAGUCUAAGAUGCUAGUCUAAGAUGCUAGUCUAAGAUGCUAACUGACAGUCCUUGAUGGUCAAGAACAGAACUCUAUCCUAACAGCCAGUCCUUGAUGGUCCAGGACUUUAUCCUCCUAACUGCCACAAGGACCAUGUGCUGCAGCAAAGGACCCUAGUACACAGACUUAUCCAUCAUUCUCCCCCUAAGUCUUGUACGUCGUCUUGUGGGAGAGUUGAAUCAUCCCAAUCCUGGAGCAAAGUUCGAGGAACUUGACCCUCCCAAGGGGCUUGGUGAGCAGGUCUGCGAGCUGAUCCUUGGUGUUGAUGUAGCUCGCCUCGAUGCUCCCUUCUUCCACACAGCUGCGAAUGAAGUGAUACCUCAGUCGGAUGUGCUUGCUCCGUUCGUGGAACACGGGGUUCUUUGCCAGGGCCAGGGCGGACUUGCUGUCCACCAGGAGCUGCACCGUUCUGGUGUCUUGAACGAGAAGAUCACCAAGCAGUCGAGCAAGCCAGAGCGCCUGAGUACAGGCGGUGAAGGCCGCUAUGUACUCAGCCUCACAGCUGGACAGGGCCACCACCUGCUGCUUGACUGAUUGCCAGCUCACGAGACACUUGCCGAGGAAGAGGAGGAUCCCGCUCGUGCUCUUGCUGGUGUCGAUGUCGCCGGCAUGGUCGAUGUCGCUGUACCCGACGAAUUGUGCCGCCCCAGGGCACCUAGGGUAAUGGAGGCCGUGGUCGAGGGUCCCUGCUAUGUAGCGGACGAUCCUCUUCACUGCCUGCUGGUGUUCCGACGUUGGUCGCUCCAUGAACCGACUGACAUAGCCGACGGAGAAUGCCAAGUCCGGCCGUGUGUGAGUGAGGUAGCGAAGGCUCCCCACAAGGCGUCUGUACUGCGUAGCAUCCACUUCCUCCGUCGUGCUGUCGCGACUUAGUUUCAGCCUCUCCUCCAUCGGAGUGAGAGCUGGAUGGCAGUCGGUGAGCCCAGCUAGCUCAACGAUGCGCUUGGCGUAGGCGGACUGUCGAAGCGCGAUCCCGGAGUGGUCCUGGUGCACCUCAAUCCCUAGAUAGAAGGAGAGGAGCCCCAGGUCACUCAUCUGGAACGUGGCCUUCAUGUCUUCCUUGAACGCCGCCACCUCUGCAUCUUUGGUGCCGGUGAUCACCAGGUCGUCAACGUAGACGCCCACCAGCAGGGCAUUUCCUCCACUCCCCCGUCGGUAGACGGCAGCCUCAUGCGGGCUCUGCUCGAAACCCAUCUUCUUCAGCGUGGAGUCCAGCUUGGCGUUCCACGCCCUGGGUGCCUGCCGCAGGCCAUAGAGAGCCUUGCGCAG